GGCCUCCCCAACCCUCUCUACCAUGAUUGUGGAUUGAAGGAUUAUCCUUCCCUUCUUUUUCUUGAAAUCAUCAAGGUGAUAAAUUGUCUGAGAAAGGGAACAAAGUGGUGGGAGUGUAAACCUCACCAAGAGGAUUUUGCGUUGUACGACACCCCUCACUGAGUAACUAUGUUACUCACCCUUUCUCUUAUCCAUCUUGGCACAAGUCAUGGUGUGGUCGAUCGUCGUGAUGUGCGGGUCUAGUGUCGAGUUCAGCAUCUUUUUUGCCUAGGUUUGUCUGCAUUAUAGGGUUUAGACCAAUCUAUUGGUCGUGUUGUAUAUUUUAUCUUUGGUUGUGUAUACUUGAUCUGCUUGUAUUAUAGGGACACUAGGUAUUAGGGG